rnacentral:rRNA from 1 species
AUUGAACGCUGGCGGCAGGCCUAACACAUGCAAGUCGAGCGAGCGGCGGACGGGUGAGUAAUGUAUGGGGACUGCCCGAUAGAGGGGGAUAACCACUGGAAACGGUAGCUAAUACCGCAUACUAUCGGAUAACCCAUAUGGGAUUAGCUAGUGGGUUAGGUAAUGGCUCACCUAGGCGACGAUCCCUAGCUGGUCUGAGAGGAUGAUCAGCGACACUGGGACUGGGAAACGGCCCAGACUCCUACGGAGGCAGCAGUGGGGAAUAUUGGACAAUGGGGGAAAGCCUGAUGCAGCCAUGCCGCGUGUAUGAAGAAGGCCCUAGGGUUGUAAAGUACUUUCAGUCGGGAGGCGUUACCGACAGAAGAAGCACCGGCUAACUCCGUGCCAGCAGCCGCGGUAAUUC